rnacentral:rRNA from 1 species
UACGUAGGGUGCGAGCGUUAAUCGGAAUUACUGGGCGUAAAGCGUGCGCAGGCGGUUGUGCAAGACAGAGGUGAAAUCCCCGGGCUUAACCUGGGAAUGGCCUUUGUGACUGCACGGCUAGAGUGUGUCAGAGGGGGGUAGAAUUCCACGUGUAGCAGUGAAAUGCGUAGAGAUGUGGAGGAAUACCGAUGGCGAAGGCAGCCCCCCUGGGAUAACACUGACGCUCAUGCACGAAAAGCGUGGGGAGCAAACAGG